UUUGAGAAAAAAUUUGGGAUUUUGGAGGAGCAUUCCUUUAAUCCACGUAAUCGAAUAAUUUGAAAAGAUAACUCGAAAAGUUCGACAAACUUGUUUGAACUCGGUUGAGUGGAAUUAGAUUUUGGUGGUGAAAGCUUCAUCGUGAUAGACUCUUCGUCCGACGAGCUGCUCCAAAAUAGUCUAUUUGGACUCCCCUCUUCGUCGCAUCUAUCGUCCUCGAGUUAAAAGUCUCAUACGGAAUGGACUAAAUUGGACCAAUACAGCUGCUUAUAUACACUGAUAUACAGUGGAUAUACACUGGAAAACAGCAUCUGCACAUCAUUACGUAAAUUAUGAUGAAAAGUGGAGGGAAAAUAAGCACUUUUCAAUACUGAUAUACACUAUAUAUGCAGUGAUAUACAAGAAAAACCGCAGAGGAAUACAUGUGGUAUGCACUGCAGAAAUGGGCCCAAAAGCUGGCCAUAUUUGGGAAAAGGCCCAAAUUUUGAUUCUUCUAAUUUAUUUUGUAUAUCCUAUUUGAUUAUGUGCUUGUCUUAAAUUAUUAAUCUGGUUAGCC
rnacentral:lncRNA from 1 species